rnacentral:rRNA from 1 species
CCUACGGGAGGCAGCAGUGAGGAAUAUUGGUCAAUGGACGAGAGUCUGAACCAGCCAAGUAGCGUGAAGGAUGACUGCCCUAUGGGUUGUAAACUUCUUUUAUAUGGGAAUAAAACGUACCACGUGGGGGAUUUUGUAUGUACCAUAUGAAUAAGGAUCGGCUAACUCCGUGCCAGCAGCCGCGGUAAUACGGAGGAUCCGAGCGUUAUCCGGAUUUAUUGGGUUUAAAGGGAGCGUAGGUGGAUUGUUAAGUCAGUUGUGAAAGUUUGAGGCUCAACCGUAGAAUUGCAGUUGAAACUGGCAGUCUUGAGUACAGUAGAGGUGUGCGGAAUUCGUGGUGUAGCGGUGAAAUGCUUAGAUAUCACGAAGAACUCCGAUUGAGAAGGCAGUUCACUGGACUGCAACUGACACUGAGGCUCGAAAGUGUGGGUAUCAAACAGGAUUAGAUACCCUUGUAGUC